UGGGGAAUUUUGGACAAUGGGCGCAAGCCUGAUCCAGCCAUUCCGCGUGCAGGAUGAAGGCCCUCGGGUUGUAAACUGCUUUUGUACGGAACGAAACGGUCCUUUCUAAUACAGAGGGCUAAUGACGGUACCGUAAGAAUAAGCACCGGCUAACUACGUGCCAGCAGCCGCGGUAAUACGUAGGGUGCAAGCGUUAAUCGGAAUUACUGGGCGUAAAGCGUGCGCAGGCGGUGAUGUAAGACGGAUGUGAAAUCCCCGGGCUCAACCUGGGAACUGCAUUCGUGACUGCAUCGCUGGAGUGCGGCAGAGGGGGAUGGAAUUCCGCGUGUAGCAGUGAAAUGCGUAGAUAUGCGGAGGAACACCGAUGGCGAAGGCAAUCCCCUGGGCCUGCACUGACGCUCAUGCACGAAAGCGUGGGGAGCAAACA
rnacentral:rRNA from 1 species